CUGACCCCAUGCCGAACUCAGAAGUGAAACGCCGUAGCGCCGAUGGUAGUGUGGGGUCUCCCCAUGCGAGAGUAGGGAACUGCCAGGCA
rnacentral:rRNA from 14 species